UACGUAGGGGGCGAGCGUUGUCCGGAUUCAUUGGGCGUAAAGCGCGCGUAGGCGGCUUCGCAAGUCGGCCGUGAAAUCUCCGGGCUCAACUCGGAGGGGUCGGGCGAGACUGCGAGGCUCGAGGUGGGCAGAGGGCAGUGGAAUUCCGGGUGUAGUGGUGGAAUGCGUAGAGAUCCGGAGGAACACCAGUGGCGAAGGCGGCUGCCUGGGCCUGGCCUGACGCUGAGGCGCGAAAGCGUGGGGAGCAAUCCGGAUUAGAUACCCGGGUAGUCCACGCCGUAAACGAUGGGUACUAGGUGUCGGGGGUAUCGACCCCCUCGGUGCCGGCGCUAACGCAAUAAGUACCCCGCCUGGGGAGUACGGCCGCAAGGCUAAA
rnacentral:rRNA from 1 species